rnacentral:lncRNA from 1 species
GUUACGAGAAGUUCAAGAAAUCAGCCCACUUAAGUCAACAAAAAAAAAAACGAAAAAUUACAAAAACUGAAAACUGAAAAAAAGUAAAAAAAAAAACACAAUGAAGAACACGGUAUUUUCGCCCUAAGGCAAGAGGUUCGGAACUUCGUUCCUAAUCCCCUUUUGAGCUUCCGUCAAACGGAAGAAAUCACUAUAUCAAUGGAAUCAACGAAUCUGUCCAGUACAAUCUUUUGGCACCCAGCAGAAAAUCACACAAAAUUUUCCCCAAAAUUAAGCCUCAUAAAUUGACAACAUUCACUCAAGAAUGAUGAAUCGAAGCCUAUACAAUAAUCACUCAAGAUUAUUUCAACAUAAGCCUCAAUACAUUCGACAACGACAUUCACUCAAGAAUAACACCAAUACACCUUGUUAAAUCACUCAAGAUUAUCUACACAAGGUUGAAUUAAUUUCUCAUCAACAGGGGCUAAUUUUUGGUGUGCAAAAAUUGAUAGAUUGAAAAGGACCACCGAGAGAGGAGAGAUGAGAGGCAGAGAGGAACUCGUAAAAAAUGAGAGAAAGGAAUCUGAAUUC